GAUGAACGCUGGCGGCGUGCCUAAUACAUGCAAGUCGAGCGAACGGACGAGAAGCUUGCUUUUCUGAUGUUAGCGGCGGACGGGUGAGUAACACGUGGAUAACCUACCUAUAAGACUGGGAUAACUUCGGGAAACCGGAGCUAAUACCGGAUAAUAUUUUGAACCGCAUGGUUCAAAAGUGAAAGACGGUCUUGCUGUCACGUAUAGAUGGAUCCGCGCUGCAUUAGCUAGUUGGUAAGGUCACGGCUUAUCAAGGCAACGAUGCAUAGCCGACCUGAGAGAGGGGUCGCCGGCACGAGAGCUGAGACGCGGACCAGAGGACUGAGAGACGCAGCAGUAGGGUACGGUCGGCAAUAGGCGGAAGCCUGACGGAAUGAGGGCGCGUGUGAGGUAGCGAUCUUCGGAUCGUGAAGCUCUGUUUUUAGUGAAAAACAUAUGUGUAAGUAGCUGAGCAGAUCGUGACGGUACCUAAUCAAGAAGCCACGGCUAACUACGUG
rnacentral:rRNA from 1 species